GAAAGUUAGAGAGAGAAGGGGGAGGAGGGAGUGCGUUGGUGGAGAUUCUUGGAUGAGUUAUCUUGCCAAUUCUUUUAAGGGUUCUCAUUAUUGAGACAUCAUCACGGGAAAGACGAUUGAUUAUGGUACUAGGCUGGGCAAACUCUACUACUUGGACUGGGCACGGUAUAGUGAGACCAAAGUUGGUCAAGCUUUCACAACAAGUGGAACUCAUUCUGAGGGAAAGAGAGACAAAGUUUGGUUAUGACAUAAACGUAUUAGGCAUGCCUUGUUUGGUUAUCUUAAGAAGUUGUUUACAUCAUUAUUUUCUAAUCUUGAUGUUUCCAGCUUCAAGUGUGAUACGUGUGAAUUGGCUAAGAGCCAUCGUGUUCUAUUCCCAUUAAGUUCAAAUAAGAGUUUGGUUCUGUUUUCUCUUGUUCA